AGAUACAAUUCUAAUUAUGUAUAAUUCUGAUUUCAUCCACACUCCCCCUCAAGCUUGGCUAUAGAUGUUGAUGAGACCAAGCUUGCCUUCAAGAAAGUCAUGAGUCUGUUCUGAGAGUCCUUUUGUGAGGAUAUCAGCCAGUUGGUGAGAUGUAGGCACAUAUUCAAGCUUGAUAAUGUUUCCAUCAAGCUUUUCUUUAAUAAAAUGUCGAUCAACCUCCACGUGUUUAGUCCUAUCAUGAUGAACAGGAUUGUGAGCUAUACUAAUUGCUGACUUAUUAUCACAAUAGAGCAGCAUAGGUUCUUCAAAUCCAAUCUUUAAUUCCUUCAGCACCCUUCUUAUCCAGAUAAGCUCACACACUCCAUGUGCCAUAGCUCUAAACUCGGCUUCUGCACUACUUCUAGCAACCACUGACUGUUUUUUGCUACGCCAAGUCACCAGAUUUCCCCAUAGCAGCGUGCAAUAACCAGAUGUUGAUUUACGAUCAUUAAUUGAUCCAGCCCAAUCAGCAUCUGUGAAUGCUUUCACCUUUCGAUCAUUAGUCUUUGCAAAAAACAAGCCUUUUCCGGGUGUUCGCUUCAAGUAUCUCAGGAUUCUAUAUACUGCAUUCAAAUGACCUUGACAUGGUGCGUGCAUAUGUUGACUUACUAAACUCACUGCAAAGGCAAUAUCCGGUCGUGUAUGUGAGAGAUAGAUAAGCUUUCCAACUAGGCGUUGAUACUGUCCUUUAUCGACCAGCCCUCUUUCAAGCAUUUUUCCUUUGUUUCCAAGUUCAACUGGAGUCUUACUCGGCCUGCAUCCCAGCAUGCCAGUUUCUUCCAACAAAUCUAAAGUAUAUUUUCUUUGAGAGACAGAGAUCCCCUUCUUACUCCUUGCAACUUCCAUUCCAAGAAAGUAUCUUAACGCUCCAAGGUCUUUAACUUCAAAUUCCUUUGCCAUCAUCUGCUUGACUCUUUCCACUUCUUUGUUAUCAUUUCCAGUGACAAUGAUAUCAUCAACAUACACUAUAAGAAUAGUAAUUUUUUCAUUUUCAGCAUGCUUAACAAACAACGUGUGAUCAGCUUGUCCCUGGACAUAGCCAAAUUCCUUGAUAACUUUGGAGAAUCUGUCGAACCAAGCCCGUGGAGACUGCUUCAGACCAUAGAGGGACUUAUUGAGUUUACAAACAGUGUGACUCCCUAGGUUUUCUUCAAAUCCUGGAGGUUGACACAUAAAAACUUCCUCUGCAAGCUCACCAUUUUUAUUGAUGAGAAUUACUCCUCUUUAAAUAGAUUACAGGGGACUAAAUCAAAUCCCACAAAAUCAGAGCUAUAACAGCUAGAAAUCUAAUUCUAAGGAAACAAAUCAGUAAACCUAUUUAAGGAAAUAAAUCUUGCCAAAUAACAUAGAUCCUAAUAUAUACAAUUCUAAUUAUGUAUAAUUCUGAUUUCAUCCACACUCCCCCUCAAGCUUGGCUAUAGAUGUUGAUGAGACCAAGCUUGCCUUCAAGAAAGUCAUGAGUCUGUUCUGAGAGUCCUUUUGUGAGGAUAUCAGCCAGUUGGUGAGAUGUAGGCACAUAUUCAAGCUUGAUAAUGUUUCCAUCAAGCUUUUCUUUAAUAAAAUGUCGAUCAACCUCCACGUGUUUAGUCCUAUCAUGAUGAACAGGAUUGUGAGCUAUACUAAUUGCUGACUUAUUAUCACAAUAGAGCAGCAUAGGUUCUUCAAAUCCAAUCUUUAAUUCCUUCAGCACCCUUCUUAUCCAGAUAAGCUCACACACUCCAUGUGCCAUAGCUCUAAACUCGGCUUCUGCACUACUUCUAGCAACCACUGACUUUUUUUUGCUACGCCAAGUCACCAGAUUUCCCCAUAACAGCGUGCAAUAACCAGAUGUUGAUUUACGAUCAUUAAUUGAUCCAGCCCAAUCAGCAUCUGUGAAUACUUUCACCUUUCGAUCAUUAGUCUUUGCAAAAAACAAGCCUUUUCCGGGUGUUCGCUUCAAGUAUCUCAGGAUUCUAUAUACUGCAUUCAAAUGACCUUGACAUGGUGCGUGCAUAUGUUGACUUACUAAACUCACUGCAAAGGCAAUAUCCGGUCGUGUAUGUGAGAGAUAGAUAAGCUUUCCAACUAAGCGUUGAUACUAUCCUUUAUCGACCAGCCCUCUUUCAAGCAUUUUUCCUUUGUUGCCAAGUUCAACUGGAGUCUUACUCGGCUUGCAUCCCAGCAUGCCAGUUUCUUCCAACAAAUCUAAAGUAUAUUUUCUUUGAGAGACAGAGAUCCCCUUCUUACUCCUUGCAACUUCCAUUCCAAGAAAGUAUCUUAACGCUCCAAGGUCUUUAACUUCAAAUUCCUUUGCCAUCAUCUGCUUGACUCUUUCCACUUCUUUGUUAUCAUUUCCAGUGACAAUGAUAUCAUCAACAUACACUAUAAGAAUAGUAAUUUUUUCAUUUUCAGCAUGCUUAACAAACAACGUGUGAUCAGCUUGUCCCUGGACAUAGCCAAAUUCCUUGAUAACUUUGGAGAAUCUGUCGAACCAAGCCCGUGGAGACUGCUUCAGACCAUAGAGGGACUUGUUGAGUUUACAAACAGUGUGACUCCCUAGGUUUUCUUCAAAUCCUGGAGGUUGACACAUAAAAACUUCCUCUGCAAGCUCACCAUUUAGAAAGGCAUUUUUUAUAUCAAGUUGAUGUAGAGGCCAAUCAGAGUUUACAGCCAAAGAUAGAAGAAUUCUGAUAGUGUUGAGUUUGGCAACAGGAGCAAAGGUCUCAGUGUAGUCAAUCCCGUACGUUUGAGUAAAGCCCUUGGCCACUAGACGCGCUUUGUGUCUUUCAAUUGAACCAUCAGCCUUAUACUUGACAGUGAAUACCCAUUUACAACCCACUGUAUUUUUUUCUUGUGGCAACUCUACUAGGCUCCAUGUAUUGUUCUGUCUAAGGGCGUGCAUUUCUUCAAGAACAGCAGCUUUCCACUCGGGAAUAGAUAGGGCCUCUUCAAUGGAUCUAGGAAUCAAAACACUAGACAAACUCGAGGUGAAAGCAUGGAGUGAAGGAGACAGAUUUGAGUAAGAUAUGAAUUUAGAAAUGGGGUGAUGAGUGCAAGAUCUAACACCUUUUCUUAAUGCUAUUGGCAUAUCUAGAUCAGGAAUAGGACUGAAUUUACCUGACUCGUUUGGUGAAUGAGACUCUACCAUCGGUUCAUCCUCGUGACUGUGAGUAGGAUUCAUGAUUUCUUUAUUUGCUUGAGACUUUUUCUUUCUAGAGUAGACUUGCAAUUCUGGUUGUUUAGAUAUUGAAAGUGUUGAAUCUCCUCUUGUUUCCAAUACUGGUGAAAUUGGAUCAAUUACAGGAGGACUGAUUUUAGUUGACUCAGGAAUAGAGACGGCUGUAUCCAACUUAACAUCAAGUAAGGGCAGGUCAUGGAUAUCCCAAGAACAGCAAGCUUCAUCCCAUUUCUCCCCCUGAAGCGAAGUUGGAGAAAAAUAUGGUGUAUUUUCAAAGAAUGUGACAUCACAAGAAAUAUAUGUUUUUUUAGUUUUUGGACAGUAACACCUAUAUCCUUUUUGGGUUGGAGAAUAACCAAUGAAAACAGUUUUGAUGGCUCGAGGGUCAAGUUUACUUCUAUUAUGGUCAUGAAUAUGGACAAAUGCUGUGCAACCAAAAAUUCUUAAUGGAAGUGUAUUAGACUUAGAGACAUGUGGGUAGGUUUUUGAAAGAACAGAUAAAGGGGUUUCAAAAUUGAUAGGACGACUUGGCAUACGAUUUAUGAGGUAGGUAGCAGUGAGGAUAGCAUCCCCCCACAAGUACUUUGGGAUAUGCAUGGUAAACAUGAGUGCCCGAGCUACCUCUAACAAAUGACGAUUUUUUCUUUCCGAUACUCCAUUUUGUUGUGGAGUAUCAACACAAGAGCUUUGAUGUUGAAUUCCAUUUUCUAACAAAUAAUCACCAAGAAUGGAAUUGAAAUAUUCUUUUCCAUUGUCAGUUCUUAGAACACGAAUUUGGCUUUGAAAUUGAGUUUGAAUCAUUUUGUGAAAAACUUUGAAUAUGUGACUGGCUUCAGAUUUGUUAUGUAGGAGAUAAACCCAUGUAACCCGUGUGUGAUCGUCUAUAAAUGUAAGAAACCAUCUUUUCCCAUGGCAAGUUGUAAUUUUUGAAGGUCCCCAUAUGUCACUGUGGAUCAAAGAGAAUGGAGUGGAAGGAAUGUAAACCUUUGGAGAAAAGGACAUGCGAGUAUGUUUAGCUAAUUGGCAAAUUUCACACUCAAAAGAAACAGUAUUUUUAUUAUCAAACAAAGACGGAAAUAGACGUUUUAGAUAUAAAAAACUAGGAUGGCCAAACCUAUGAUGCCAUAACAUUAUUUCAUUAGUACUAGAAACAGAUGUAGAAGCAACACCAGACAAAAAAAUUUGUUGACUCUUUGGGUGAUCAUCAUUAAAGUAAUAAAGACCAUCAUGAAUCCUAGCACUGCCAAUCGUCUUCCCCGAUGAUAGGUCCUGAAAUUGACAAGAAGAAGACAAGAAAUUAGCAACACAAUGAUUGUCACGUGUGAUUUUGCUAACAGAGAUCAGGUUGCAUUUUAGGGCAGGGACGUGGAAGACAGAUUUGAGGAUUAAAUUUGGAGAUAGUUUUAUGUCACCAAUUCCAACUACUAGUGUAAAAGAUCCAUCAGCAAUUUUAACAGUGAUAUGUUUAGAACAAGGGACAUAAGAGUGAAAACAAUUAGAGCUACCUGUCAUAUGAUCAGAGGCCCCGGAAUCAAUUAUCCAAGGGUCUGUAGAUUGAAUCAUUGAUUGGGAAUUUAGGACAGAGUAGAGUUUACCAGAUUUGGCAACAGAACAUGAUCCACUGGUGGAGUUUGCAUAGUUGGGUGGAUGGGUCUGAGAGGCAUUGACAGAAGAUAAAUUGAGAAGUUUGCAUAGUUGGUCAAUUUGUUCCUUGCUGAACGGAAUAGAUGCACCAGAGUGGUCUUGAUUGGAUUGGGUAUGGUGUGCACAUCCGUCAUUUUUUUUUCGAGGCUGCCAAUUUGCUGGUUUCCCAUGAAUCUCCCAACACUUGUCCCGAGUAUGUCCAGGUCGAUUAUAAUGAUCACAUCAUGGUCGCUUGUUCGAACGAUGAUCAGGAUGCUGCUGUCCAUUUGAGUGAGUUUUAGUAGUCAUUAAGGCUGAUACUUCUGGUGCGGAUGGAGGUACAGAUUUGUCAUCCGAGAGCAUCACCUUUCGCCUAGCUUCCUCACGUCGUACUUCUGCGAAGGCUUCGUCAGUAGAAGGGAAAGGCUUUUGAGCCAUCACUCGGCCCCGUACCUCAUCUAGAUUUCUAUUAAGACCAGCAAGGAAAUCAAAUACUCUUUCUUUUUCAAGGUUAUGCUUUUGCUUGACACUGCACUCAGCACAAAAUGAGUCAUCUUCAAAAAACAGAUCUAAUUCUUGCCAAAGAUCUUGGAGGUCAGAAAAAUAUUGGGUGACAGAGUUGGAACCCUGUUUCAUCUCCUUCAAUUUUGAACGAAUCUCAAAAAUCUGAGAAGCAUUCCCAAGAUCAGAGUACAUCCGUCGAGCUGCAUCCCACACAUCUUUGGCUGUCUUGAACCAGAGAUAACGACGACUAAUCUGUGGUUCCAUCGAAUUGAUGAGCCAUGCAAGAACAAUAGAAUUUUCAGACAGCCAUGUCUUGUACAAUGGGUCAGUUGUCUUGGGAGCAGGGAGUUCACCAGUGAUGUAGCCCAGUUUACCACGCCCACAAAUCACAAUCUUGACUGACUGUGCCCAUUGUAGGUAGUUUCUACCAUUUAAUUUGUGGGCUGUAAUAUGAAGAGAUGCAUCGCUUCCGGAAAGAGAAGCAAUUGGGAUGGAACUAGGCUCAGCCAUAGAUUGGCUAGAUGUUGAA
rnacentral:lncRNA from 1 species